ensembl:lncRNA
UGUGUUAACCUGGACCCAUAGAGAGUCAUUCACAGGGUGAUUAAUAGGAGAAACACAAUGCUAGAUUAAGAUGUAUAUAGAUGAUUAGGUGUCUGGUCUAUUCAGGGCUCUGGUUAAAAGUAGUGCACUAUAUAGGGAAUAGGGCUGUAGUAUAAAGUAGUGCACUAUAUAGGGAAUAGGGCUGUAGUAUAAUGUUGUGCACUAUAUAGGGAAUAGGGCUCUGGUCUAAAGUAGUGCACUAUCUAGGGAAUAGGGCUCUGGUCUAAAGUAGUGCACUAUAUAGGGAAUAGGGCUCUGGUCUAAAGUAGUGCACUAUAUAUGGAAUAGGGCUUUGGUCUAAAGUAGUGCCCUAUAUAGGGAAUAGGGCUCUGGUCUAAAGUAGUGCACUACAUGGUGAAUAAGGGGCCAUAUUGGAUACAGCCUCUAUGUGAGUUUGGUUGGGCACAAGCCUGGGCCUGUGUGUAAAGUAGUGCACUAUAUAGUGAAUAAGGGGCCAUAUUGGACACAAGCCUGGGCCUGUGUGUAAAGUAGUGCACUAUAUAGUGAAUAAGGGGCCAUAUUGGACACAAGCCUGGGCCUGUGUGUAAAGUAGUGCACUAUAUAGUGAAUAAGGGGCCAUAUUGGACACAAGCCUGGGCCUGUGUGUAAAGUAGUGCACUAUAUAGUGAAUAAGGGGCCAUAUUGGACACAAGCCUGGGCCUGUGUGUAAAGUAGUGCACUAUAUAGUGAAUAAGGGGCCAUGUUGGACACAAGCCUGGGCCUGUGUGUAAAGUACUUCUGCAUUCUAAAGUGUUGGUAUUCCAGCAUCUUGUAUCUUUUAAUAAAGGUGAUUUAAUCAGCCACUUCCUGUCUGUCUGAACAUGUGGACUCAACAUCAUUCCAAUAAGGCACUCAAAUAAGCGGACGAUAGGUGAAGGUACACUCUAUAUAUUUAUAUACAAAAGUACGUGGACACCCCUUCAAAUUUAGCGGAUUUGGCUAUUUCAGCCACACCCGUUGCUGACGUGUAUAAGAAAUCGAGCACACAGCCAUGAAAUCUCCAUAGACACUCGGCAGUACCGUUCUGUGAGCUUGUGUGGCCUACCACUUCAUGGCUGAGCCGUUGUUGCUCCUAGACUAUCCCACUUCACAAUAACAGCACUUACAGUUGACCCGGGGCAGCUC